CAUAAGUAACCUGCCCUAGACAGGGGGAUAACCGCUGGAAACGGCAGCUAAGACCGCAUAGGUAUGGACACUGCAUGGUGACCAUAUUAAAAGUGCCAAGGCACUGGUAGAGGAUGGACUUAUGGCGCAUUAGCUGGUUGGUGAGGUAACGGCUCACCAAGGCGACGAUGCGUAGCCGACCUGAGAGGGUGACCGGCCACACUGGGACUGAGACACGGCCCAGACUCCUACGGGAGGCAGCAUG
rnacentral:rRNA from 1 species